GAUCACAGCUGUGAGGCAAAUUAAAUGAUGAUCUUUCACUCUCCUCUUCCUCCGCUUUUCAAAUGCCCCCCUCCACCUUCACCCCAUCCUGUCACCCUCCAGAAGGCGUGGAGGAAGAAAUGGAGGAGGGUGAGAAAGGUAAAAGUAGAAAGCUUGAGAGAGAAAGGUAGAAUGUGAGUGAGGCAGGGGGAGGAGAUGAAGAGGGUGGAGAGAGUGUGUGUUUUUUUCUUCCAGUCUUCCCUCCUUCCACCUCUGCAUGUGAUUGAGGAAGAAAACAAUGCGAGGGAAUGGGUGAGGAGGAGAGAAAGCAGAGCAAGACAAGAGAUCAGCAGGCACAGUGUUUUUUUUCCUUUAACCUGGAGCUGUGGGCGUGUGCGUGCGUGUGUUCUAAUGUGCGUGUCCAUGCAUGGGUUUUUGUUGUCCUCUCUCUUGCCCACCUGCUUUGGACCUGCAGGUCUGGAUGAAAACAGGCAGAGAGCAAAAGGAGCACUGGGCGGUGAGGGCAUCCUGGACCCAAAGGGGGGGGAUGAUUAAACCAGAUCAUAACAUAUUGAAACAGGCCAGGUACCUGAGAUGGAUUAAAAAGUCUUAGCUGCCCCUAUGAACGCACACACACAAACGCAUACACGCCCACACACCCGCACACACACUUGUGUGUAUGGGAUGUCAUUACCAGAAUGUACAUUUAAAUAUUUCUGCAUGUCUCCUAGAAUGUCUCUGUGAAAUACUGUAAUGACAAUAAAAUACAUCUAAAGUUCCUGUGUCGUAUUUUCUUCAAGAUAUCCAUCAAGGUUUCAUGCUGUUUCAUUAAGUUUAUACUACUCUAUUAAUAUUUAUUUAAACAGUUAUUAUUCAUUAGGUUUACUAAUUUUUGUCUUUAUUUGAAAAUUACUUAUAUAGCUUUUUUGCUAUUUUGUUUUUAGCUUUAAUAAAACUACUGCUUUAUGUGCUGUGAUAACAUGUUGCAUACAAGUUACUUUGAGUUGUCAAAAAUGUUUACGUUUGCUAUACUUUAUAACUGUGAAGAUUGUGAUUGUCCAUCUGAAAGUAAUGUUGAUUAAAGCCCAUCAAACUGAAUCUGUUUUGUACCAAUGUUGUCAGUAAAUACAGAUUUAUUGCUAUUAUUUUAGCACAGCCUUAGCUUAGCAUGCUCUAGCUAGAACUCCAUAGCUGUGUCCGAAUUCAGAGUGUGCAUCCUUCAAAGGACAGAUUUGUAGGCCGAUUACAUCAUAGCACGCUGACAAAACCUGUCUAAAUUCAAAGAUUCCUUCAAAUGCGUCCUUGUUUUCCACCAAAUGGGUCUGGUGUAUUCUUCACAGUCCACCUUAUCCCAUUACUCAAAGCGCAAUGGUGGUGAAGAGCAGCAAAUAAUUUUACUAUAUUACACUUUACAUGACAACAUAAUUUUUUACAAUGUUUGUUGGCCAGAAUGUGACUUUGUAAGUCUCAAAGAUUUGCUCAGUUUAUCAAUACAUCACCUAAUUUCAAUAUUGUUCUGACAUUUUCGGAGAUGUCUGCUCCCGCUGCAUUAUCAUCCAGCUCCCCUUGCCAGCUGUAAGCUAGCCAGGUGCUCUAGGUUUUCUAGAACGCCUGACUCCCGGCACAUUGUUUUAAAAACUCCAAGUAGCUUUCCCCAAUAAGUUGAAGUUAAACACAGAUAUUAUUCAGAUAGGUAAUAUCUAGUUGUAAAAUGAUUUUUUUUUUUUUACUAAAGUAUUUAAUUUAUUCUUGAGCAAAUUGGUUUGAUUGAUUAAAGUUAAGGAUUCAAACAUCUUAUCUGAGAUCUGGAGAGUAUUGUAUUUGAAAAUGAAUAACUUGCUAAUAUUUAUUAGCAAAUGUGUAAUACACGUUUGAACAUUUUAGAAUCAAACUGACAGAUUUAUUUUUUUACUAUGGAACAGCUUUUACUAUAAAAGGUGAAGAAUAAUACAGAAAUCAGGAGUAACACAUGACUGAAAAACAAACUUCGGCUCCGUUCUUUUUUCUUCGCUGCUCUCUGCUUCAUGCUUUCACCAUUGAUAGGUAACCUAAGUUACGCUGAGGUUGGGGCAGGGACUGUUGGUGAAGGCUAGACCUGUCCGAAUUCAUAGCUUUUCUCUUCCGGUCUUUGUUUAUUCACGGCCUUCAAAGGAUGCAGACCCCGAAUUCAUACGUGUAUGUAUACACUCAUGAGAUCUGAGAACUACUGCUACAUUCUAACAUUUCAUUAUACCAAUUGUAUCAAUAAUAAUAUUUUUUUGCAUUUAAGUACAAGUUUUAAUGUUAUGGAGAAUUUUCAUGCGAAUUUCUGCUUUUCUGACUAUAGUGUGUAAUGCUGCCGACCUUUUUAAAAAUUUUUUAAAUCAAAUGUUGAAUUUCUUUUCAGUAACUAUUGAACUUUGAUUUGAAUCUGCAAUUGUUGUGACUGACUCCAAUACCAGAGAGCUUACAUGUGAAGCGUUUCCUCCCAGUCAGGUUUUGGUUAAAGGUUUGACACAAGCAGCAGAGAAAUGUUUGCGAUUAAGAUUUUACUGCUGCGGAACCUGAAAAAGAAAAUACAACUGCAUAUUUUAAGAUAAUCAGAUGAGAAAGCUGUCAUUAAUUCAAAAACUUUUUUUAUUUAAUCCAAAAAUGCUUAAAUGUAGUUUUUACUUCCUAGGGGUUUAGACAUGCUUUUCAACUGUGCAAAUAUAUAAUGAACAUCUGUGUCAUGAUGUGUAGCAUUUCUUUGUUACCUAAAUAAAACUGCACUUUUUAAAUUUACCUUCCAAAAAUAAUUAUUCUCAGGUUUUAUUAUUUAGUGAUACUAUUGCAGAAUGUGGAAAUAUGAUAAAACUAAAAACAAAUGCUUUAUUUAAUUAGAAGAUAAAUCAAUUUGUUAUAAUGCUAAAAAUGUGAGUUAACUUUCUGAGUAUACAGAGCCUUGUAAUGAAAAUUAGAGUAAUUAAAUUAUAGUCAGAAGACAUAAAAGCUCAUUUUAAAUACACAGUUGGGAAUUGUGAUUUUUUUAUUUCUUUGCUUAUGUGACAAUAAUAUUGGUGCUUUCAUUUUAUUAUUGAUUUCAUUUCCUGUAUUUCCAUGCUGCUUGUUAAGUAAUUAUUUAGCAACACUGAGCAACAGAAAGACACUGGUAAAUUCUAAAACUGUUUUAUAAAGUCAAAUUAGUGGGAAGAACAAAUGUGCCUUUUUUUGAUAAAGUCGGAAGAUUGCUUCAGUAUGAUUCAAAUUCUGCUUUUAGGAAGAUUAUAUUUCUUUUCUCCUCAAAAAACUUUAAUUCAGUUUGUAAUAAGCUGAAUGUAUGUAUGCUUCAACACAUUCCUUUUUCCAAGUUUACUUACUUUCCAACAAAUUCACAGUUAUAUAGAAAACAAUAUGCAUAUCCUUUAUUAUGUAGUGAAUAAUGUGUUGCACAUACAGAAAAUCUUACUCGGUUGAACUUCACUCUAGACAAAAAAAGUGUUUUCUGUUCAUUUGUAUUUUUAAGAGUUAGUAUAGAUAGUUGGCCUAAAGGGAACCCUAAAAGAAAUACACAGAGAAGCAGUGUGUCCGCUGCUUUUUGCUGUGCCUUGCUUCCUCAUCGCUCACACACUCUGCCUUAAAUCCACGCUGAGGUUUGGCUCAAACGCUUUAGCUCUCUGCUGCCGAAAGUAGGCCAAAAACAAUCUGAGGACAAGGCUCAGGCAGAGUCAAAAAGCUACUGAUGGGUGGGGUAGGAAAAAUGCAACGUCAUUUAGGAAUAUCUGUCGUUUCUGGAAAUCCGGUUCAUAGUUUAAUCUUUGGCUUUUUUCUACAGAAAUUAUAUCUGACACUUUCGGGCUUAUCUGCAGCUGUAAGGUUUUCUUCUGACACAAUUUUACAGAGAUAAACUGAGUUGUCAAUUUGACUUUUGAUUAAAAUACUGACCAACAUAUAAAAGGAGGUUUUUGAAGGUUGAUGACAACAAAAGCUGUGCUUGGAUUCUAUAAAACAGUAUGAAUUGAAGAAAACAGUUAAUUCAGUUUCUGUGCUUUUUCAAAUAAGUCCAAAAAACUACAGGUAAACAGAGUAUUAAAUUUAAACUCUGCUGUACGUUUUAUGCCAUUUUUGUGAAGAGUUUAAACAUUUUUUUAGUUUCAUGGAUUCCUGAAACAAUCUGCAAACUCUCCAAUCAAUUCACAAUCUUUCACAAACUCACACAUUUAGGUUCAAAAUCUAAAACUCAGAAAAUUUGACUUAAAGAGACACAACUAAAUAUUCCUCAAAUGUUUUGAUAGUGUGAAUAGUAACCAGAAAUCUUAUUACUGUAUGAGUAGAAUUACUCCAACAUGUUUUACUUAAGCAGAAAUAGAAAGUGGUUUUGAAAAAAAAUAUUCUCAAGUAAGAAAAAAUAAUUUGGUGAACAUGCUACAUUUGAUGUAAUCACAUGUACAAAAUAUAAAGUUAUGUUGAAAUUUUGGUAUCUUAGAGAAAAAAAAUAAGAAAUGAGAAAAUGGUAACAUCUUGUUGCAAAACUAUAUUUCCAAAUCAAUUGUUUUUUUGCAGCAUAAGCCUGUGAUACCAAAAUUAGAGAAGAUUUAAUGUGUAUGUAUGAUAAUAUAGAUGAGCUAUUCACUGUAUAUUCACUUGCUUUCUGAAUGACAGCAACUAGAAAAUAACACUAGAACAAAGCUCAUGUUCAUACAAAAAGUCUAAAUUUAACACAAACUGUGUUAAAUUGUUUUAGUUUUAGUUUUAGUUUUAGUAAUUUUGCAGCUCUGAAGAAGCUGCAAAAUUAUAAACAGUAAGCUGCAUGAACUUGGAUGCAUGAACAUGAAUUUUCUUUCAUCUUUAACCUGAAGAAAUAAGUAAAUGCAAAAUCUGCUUUCCCUCUGUAUAUAGUGUAAAGGUUAUUAACCAUAAAGUAUCAUAAGUAAAUAAAGUAAAUUAGAUAUCUGAAAUCUUGGGAGAAAAUUUAAAUUUUACUAAAAUGUUUCUUUCAAAUGUCCAAGCUCUUUGAAGUAAGCUUUAGCCCAAGGUUAUGACUUAAUACUUUAACAAACUUAUUCGUUUUGAUAAAAUAGCAUGUAUCCUUUAGGAAUGGCCCGAUAAUUGUUACUGUCAUUUUAAAAGCUACAAUUUUAAAACUUUAUGGUUGUUAAUCAUACUGUUUUCACAAAAUAGAACCCUCUAACCCAGAACGUGUGUUACAAUGUUUAAUCUCUAUUUCAAACAAACAAAAUACAAAUGUUGAUUUUUCUUCUGUUUUUCUUACUUAAAAUUAGAGAUUGCUUCCUAGUGUUGUCUUGGAAUGCUACUGGAAAGGAAAUUUGCUCGUAAGUGAAGGUCACAAAUGACCACAAGUUGAUAAACCUGUAACCUGUAUUCACUCAGAUUAUUCACAUAGAAGUAAAAUGUGUUUUCACAUUUUUUGGUCACUAAAAUGUCCAGAACAUGUUCGUGCAACACUUGUACAAAAUGCACAAUAGGGCAUAUUUUAUUCAUAUUAGAUAUAUACUUUCAAAAACUUUACAAAAAGUAACUGAAGAAUCUAAGUUAAUUAAUUGCAACAACAUUUAAUUUUUGAAUUGUAUUGAACUGACAAACUAAACAAAUCUGAAAAUAUAUUUUCAUUUCCAGAGAUUACCUACAAAAUCAUCUAAAAGGCUUAACUUUUUUAUUUUCCAUGUUUUUAUCCGUGAAAGGUUUAGGGAAAUCAUGUUUCCUUUAGAAACUUUAAACUGAAAUACAACAUAUAAAAUAAUUGCUCCAGGCUUAAAUAGGCACAUAAAAUGACACUGAUAAAGAUAUUUUAAUGAUUAAGUGCAACAGCUCAGGCACUUACUAGAUCAUUUUACUUACAGACCUUUCACAUCAUGAAGAAAGUGUCUGAAGGUCUAUGAUGGUUUAACUUGUUUCUCAUUAUGUCAAAAAUAAGUGUUUUACAAUAUGCUUCUGCACCCUGGGAACAUUUCACAUUCUUUUAAAUCAGUAUGCAUUCAUACCGAUGCAUUCAUACAUGUCUGACCUUCAGCAAGGUCAGACAUGUACUAUAUAUCAGUGGUCCCCAACCCCUGGGCCACACAAGAAAUAAUUAAAUAUUUCCGUGAUAUGUAUUGAGUCUGGAGGAUCUUUUAUUUAGAAAAGCCUUUGACCGGACUCUGUCGGUUGUGUCUUGCGCUGCAACAUUGAGCCCACAAGCAGCAUCAGUUUCGAUUUCCUCCCUACGCCCCCCCAUGCAGCAAAGCUUUUGAAGAUCUUAAAAAUGCAAUCUGCACAGAGUCUGUUUUGCACACCCCUGACUUUGAGAAAUCAUUUACACUGCAAACAGAUGCUUCAGGGGUGGGUCUUGGGGCAGUUUUGUUGCAGGAAGUGGAUGGAGAGAUGAAGCCAGUGGUGUUUCUGAGCCAUAAGCUUCUGGAUAGAGAAACCAGAUAUUCAACGGUGGAGAACGAAUGUCUCACAAUGAAGUGAGCCAUCGAAUCAUUGACCUGCUGGGGCGACAUUUCUUUCUGGAAACAGACCACUGGGCCCUCCAGUGGUUGCAUCAGAUGAAAGACGCAAAUGCACGGAUUGCUGGAUGGUACCCUGCUCUGCAACCAUAUAACUUCACUGUACAUUACAAGGCUGGAAAAACUAACACUGUAGCUGACUGUCCAGGAUUCCUGAAAGUUAAGAUACUGUGAGCUUAUGGAGAAGGGGGAGGAAAUGUAAUGAAGGUCUUCAUUACUGGGAUGAAAACACUUAAAAGGGUGUGUUGAAUAAGAGACAGAUACAGAUCGAAGUAUUUUAUUGUUUGUGUGUUUUUGUGCAGUGGCAUCUCAGCUGGAACUGAUGGUGUCCUGUUAAAAUACAACAAACAAAUGGAUGGGUCUUGUAACUGUUUGAAAUACACUGAAAUGUUUGUGUAGAUGUGGCUUACCUCUGUCUCUUCCUCUGCAGGGUGUUCAGGCUGAAAGAUUCCCCAGGGGCCUGAGGACCUUAUAAAGGUUCCGGAGGAGACCAAUGCAGAUGGAAGAGGGGGAGCGAUAGAAUGAUGCAUUUUAGAAGUUUAAUGAUUGGAUUUAUAUUUAUAGAAAGAUAUUUUUAGAAAUGAAAUGGCUGCUUAGAAAUGAAGAGCAUUUGUUAAUAUUGUGUUGAAGAUUUGGUUGUUUGUCAAGAUUGUUUGUGUAUAUGUAUUUUGUCCUACCCUGUUUCUUGGUGGGGUUGUCAAUUGGAGCAGCCAGGAACUAUAAAAACCUGCAUGUUGGUCACAUUGCAGGUUGGUAGGUGUGGUUGCUGCUGAGACCCAUGGCUGUUGUAAGCAGAAUUAUCUAAAUGUUAAAUGUUGGAGAAUAAACACCUGGUUGGUCUGCACUAUU